rnacentral:lncRNA from 1 species
GUAACUUGAGUUUUAUUGUUCACUACCAUGCUAUUACUCUUCUAUACAGACUUGGCAUUUGCAUUUUAAGUCCAAAGAAUGUCUCAUUUCUUUAUUAUAUUUAAAACAGAGGUAUUACAAAGGAGAAAGUAACAACGAUGCUUUCUAUUUUAUAUCCAUGAAGUAAUUAGUACAUGAAGCAUUAAUCUGGCACAUGUUUUAAGCAUGCACACAGUAUGUUCCACAUCUUUUUGCGUUAAAACAGAAAGACAUUACAAAGAUGAAUGCAGAAACAGUAAGCUCUACGGUUUUUUUUUCUAAAAGAAAUUUUAGGAUAUUUACAUAGUCAUGUUUAUUUUAUAGUAACUCUGUAGCUGAACAAUUUAUUAUGUUAAUACAGAAAUACAAAGAGCUUUAUCAAACAAAAUACUUACUAUUUUCUAGCUGCCUUACAGAAAUGAUUUACUCAAGAAAACAGAACAAAAUUUCUCAGUUUCAUUAAUCAGCUUUGUAAAUAUUUUGCCAGAGCUUUGUUUUCCUGGG